rnacentral:lncRNA from 10 species
GCAACCCCUAGGUAGCUUCAGGAUGGGGGCUGGUCACCGGAAAGACCAAGGCAGGAUUAGAGUUUGGGACUUUCAGUCCCACCCCCCGACCUCCGGGGAGGAGAGAGGGAUUGAAGGUUAAGUUGAUCUUCAAUGGCCAAUGAUUUAAUCAAUCAUGCCUGUGUAAUGAAGCCUUCAUAAAAACCUAAAAAAGGACGGGGUUUGGAGAGCUUCCUGUAAGCGAACCCGUGAAGGUUCCAGGAGGAUGGCGCACCCGGAAAGGGCGUGGAAGCUCCGCGCCCCUUCCCACAGACUUUCCCCCAUCCAUCUCUUCAUCUGGUGUUCAUCGAUAGCCUUUGUAAUGUCCUUAAUAGUAAACCGGAAAACCCUUGAGAUACUCCAAGCAGACUUACCUCUGUGUUGUACACCCCAUAUAUCAGGAAGAUGAAGAGACCCUGUAAAAUAAAAUGGAGGGGAAAAGCUGUUAACGCUAAUCAUUUCAGCAGUAGAAAUACCUGAAAUAAACUUUCCUGGGAACAGACAAAAGAAGACACACUUCAUCAAGAUGUACACCUAACAGCAUGGUAAGGAAGCCCCAGAAGGAUGUUUCUAAAGACCAUGAGGGAGUCUGAAACCUGAAAUCAUGCCAAGGACUCUCUGCUUCUCUUUCACUUGGGGUGUCUAUCUGAUGCUGCCACAACCAGUUGAAACGUAUAACAUUAACAAUAAAAAUUAGUUUUUUUGUAACUAAUUUUAU